GCUCGCCCGGUGUGGAUAUGCACUCAGAGUAACACCACAAAUAUCAUACUCACCUGAGUACACUACACCAACACAGAAAAAAUUCAAUUUCCUACCGUUGUUUGUGGUGCUACGUGUACGUCUCACUGUAACGUAAAUUGCAGGGCAGACGCAAGACGGUAGAGAUACCAAACCAUGUAUCACCUUGAACAGGAAGAGCAGAUCGAGCAGUUCAAGCCAGUAGGAAACUGGUAGUAUUCGAAGUGACAAUAGUCUUUCU